rnacentral:lncRNA from 1 species
CGGGCCGGGGCUCCGCGCCGAGGGCGCACGGGCUACGGGGAAGGGGCGACCGGCGCGACGUCCGCGGCGGGGCCCGGGAGCCCCGCGCCGCGGGCCGGGGGCCGGGGCCCGAGCUCGAUUCUGCGGCCGCGAGGUAUGGGAACCGGUCCGCCGGGCCAGGCAGCGGUGCUAGGCAGCAGGGGCAGCGACGCCGCCGCCUUUCCCUUCUCCUGCCCCCGUCCCUGCUCCGCCGCGUCCUCGUCCUCGCUGGGUCCCCGCCGCCGCCGCCUCAGCCUCGGCGCUCCUCGGGUUUCUUCUCUCCAUCAAGGCCGGGCCGACCCGCAGGGACCAUCCCGGAAAGUGAGGGGUUGUUGCCGUUUCCCGCAGCUGUUGGUGGCCAUCUUUAAUCCUCCUCCUCCUCCUGCUUUCUCCACCUCCCGCUGGCUGUCUGACUGACUGACUGGAUCCUCCUCUUUCCCCUCCUGCUCCUCCUACUGAGCCGGCCGCAGAAAUUGCAGCCGCUCAGCUUCUACCCCCUCCUGCCUUUCCUUCCUCUUUCCUUACUUCCUUCCCUUCCCUCGGCUUCCCGCUCUUGCCUCACUCUCAGCGGCUGCCUUCGCCCCUGUCUGCAGACAGCGCCGCUGGAUGCUCCCAGCUGGACUUCAACCCCACUCCUCUCAGUCCCUCUCCCCACUGCCUUCCAGACGCGCCUCUUCCCCGCCCCGCGCCCCUCUCUCCUCUCCCACCCCUGCCCCUCUCCGCGGCGCUCACCCUCCUCAGUCCCAGUUUCUGAAAGGACUCAGCUGAGAAAGGACAACUGGGUUCCGCUUUCCUUAACCCUACACCCUUUAGCUGGAUGCUGUCAGAGGCGAUGGAGAAACGCAAAGGCUACUAGACGCAACAAUAGAAUUACCAUAUUGUUUUUCCUGGUUUGAAAGGACCAGAUGGAAAGAAACUGGGCAAGCCAAUGAAAGUCUCUGGGGAUCAUGGGAAUUGAGUGUCUAUGAAAACCAUAUUCCAGACAAGAAUAUAGUCUAAGGGUCUUGCUUUGUCAUCCAGGCUGGAAUGCUGUGGCACAAACAUGACUCACUGCAGACUCAUCAACCUCCCCAGCUCAAGUGAUCCUCCCACCUCAGCCCCACAAGUAGCUGGGACUACAUGCACAUGCCAUCAUGCCCAUCUAGUCUUUGUAUUUUUUGUAGAGACAGGGUUUUGUCAUGUUGUCCAGGCUGAUCUUGAACUCCUGAGCUCAAGUGGUCCAUAUACCUUGGCUUCCCAAAGUGCUGGGAUUAUAGGCCAUUGCUCCCGGCCUCAUGAUAAAACUUUAAGUAAUUGCUUCUUAUGGAUGAGCAAAGAAAUUGGAAUCUUGAUGCAGAAUGUACUUCUGGUGAAGAUGCCAUGAAUGUUGUUGAAAUGACAACAGAAGGUCUAGAAUAGUCCAUAAACUUAGCUGAGAAAGCAGCAGCAGGAGUUGAGAGGAUUGACUUCAGUUUUGAAAGAAGUUUUACUGUGGAUAAAAUGCUAUCAAAUAACCUCACAUGCUUCAGAUAAAUCUUUUGUGAAAGAAAGAUUCAAUAGAUGCAUAAACUUCAUUUUUUUUAAUUUUAAGAAAUUGCUUUAGCCACCCCAACCUUCAGCAAUCACUACCCUGAUCAAUCAGCAGCCAUCAACAUCAAGGCUAAACCCUCCAUUGGCAAAAAGAUUAUGAUCGCUGAAGGCUCAGAUGAUUAUUAGAGUUUUUAAUUUAAUUUUUUAUUAGCAAUAAAAUAUUUUUAAAUUUAAGGAAUGUACAUUUUUUUAAAGACAUAGUGCUAUUUCAUACUUAGUACUCUACAGUAAUGUAAACACAACUUUUCAAUGUACUGGAAAACAAAACAAACAAAGUCUCAUUUUAUUGUGAUAUUUGCUUUAUU